CCUACGGGUGGCAGCAGUGAGGAAUAUUGGUCAAUGGGCGGAAGCCUGAACCAGCCAAGUCGCGUGAGGGAUUAAGGCCCUGCGGGUCGUAAACCUCUUUUGCCGGGGAGCAGUGGUCCGGACGCGUCCGGACCGGGAGAGUACCCGGAGAAAAAGCAUCGGCUAACUCCGUGCCAGCAGCCGCGGUAAUACGGAGGAUGCGAGCGUUAUCCGGAUUUAUUGGGUUUAAAGGGUGCGUAGGCGGGCAUUUAAGCCGGCGGUAAAAUGUCGGGGCUCAACCCCGGCCUGCCGUUGAAACUGGCUGUCUUGAGAUGUCGAGAGGUAUGCGGAAUGCGCAGUGUAGCGGUGAAAUGCUUAGAUAUUGCGCAGAACUCCGAUUGCGAAGGCAGCAUACCGGCGGCGAUCUGACGCUGAGGCACGAAAGCGUGGGUAUCGAACAGGAUUAGAUACCCUGGUAGUC
rnacentral:rRNA from 1 species